rnacentral:rRNA from 1 species
UACAGAGGUCCCAAGCGUUGUUCGGAUUCAUUGGGCGUAAAGGGUGCGUAGGCGGCGAGGUAAGUCGGGUGUGAAAUCUCGGGGCUUAACUCCGAAACUGCAUUCGAUACUGCCGUGCUUGAGGACUGGAGAGGAGACUGGAAUUUACGGUGUAGCGGUGAAAUGCGUAGAUAUCGUAAGGAAGACCAGUGGCGAAGGCGGGUCUCUGGACAGUUCCUGACGCUGAGGCACGAAGGUCAGGGGAGCAAACAGG